UUAAAAUCUGGAAAAUGAGAAGUAUGACGUUAAUAUUUAGCAAACUUCUUCGAACUUGGUCAAGUUGAAAUUUAAAAUGUGCUUGACUUGGAAAUAUUUAAUUUCGUCUUGCGCUUAAUAGACAAUCCAUUCCCAUUCUGUGCAGAUUGUAAUUCUUUCUGACUUUGCUAUCCAUUUGCCUGGAGGACAAGACAGUUUAAAACUGCUCUGCACACCACAC